rnacentral:misc_RNA from 1 species
UGAAGACGUGACCGGGCGCAAGCCCGAGCUGAACACCGGCGGCGGCACCUCGGACGCACGCUUCAUCACGCACUACUGCCCGGUGCUGGAAUUCGGCCUUGUCGGCCAGACCAUGCACCAGAUCGACGAACGCACGCCGGUGUCCGAUCUCGAAAAACUCACAAAGAUCUAUCGCGGCGUGCUCGAUCGCUAUUUCGCAUGAAUGACCCGGACAUGAGCGGACAUAUCGUUGUUCUUACCGCCAUCGAUACUGAACUGAACAAGGCGCGCGCGCCGGAAGGUGUCGAGGUG